CCUGACUGUAUAACCUUAAGGGGAAUCGGAACAAUCUGUGUAGAAAUAACCUACUCGAUAAUAAUCGGAGGUGUUCUGUUGGGUCGUUUUCUGUGUCUUCCUACAAGUCCGAGCGAUUGCACAUAAGGACAAGCUGAGUUAGAGGAGGAAUAAUAACAUCCAUUGAAGAGUCCAGUGUACAAGAGAGUUUGGAGGAAGCAUGAUCCUGAAGAAUUCUGUGGUCUGCUACCUAAAAGAGGUUUAGACACACUAGAUAAGUUCACCCUAGUAGAGGAAGUCCAGACUGACAUGAGAGUGAAAAUAUUUGAUAAAACCGAACCUACUAAUGAUGUGAAGUCCAUCAUGGGGACAGCAAACCAUACCUGCACAUAUAAAGGCAUCUAUACCAGCAAAUAUACCACAUAUCAAAGAAGCCCCACAACCAAACUUACUUUGGCUAAGAAGAUUGGGAUCUCACUGUGACAACAUUUCCAGGAGAAGAAAGGGUUAUGAUACAGAGGAAAUCUGGUUUCAGAACAAUGGGGGAACUAAUAAUAUAGAAUACUGGUUAAAAGUAUGGGUUCUGGAGUCAGACAAGUCUGAGUUUUAAUCCUGCCUGCCACUUGUUAGCUGGGUAACCCUGGACUACCAGCCAGUUGCUCUAAUUUGCAAUUUCAGCAACUACAAAAUAAGGAAUGUAAUGUCUUCCUCAUAGCAUAUAGAUGAAAUGAACUAAUAAGGUAAAGCAUCUGCACAGUGCCUGCUGCCAAAGUGUUCAAUAAAUGCUAACAGUUAAUAUUAUCAAACAGAUGUUAUUAUAUAUUCCCAGAUAUUCUAUAAUGGAAAUACAGAGAUUUUAAGUUUUAAUGGCAUUUAAGAUUACAGUAUGGUUAUAGUGUACUAAAGAAUACUUUUUACGAUGAGAACAAAUUGCCACAUGAUUUACUUCCUAUUUUUACUUUUGGUUUCCACUGAUGAAUUAUUAUACAUUUCUGCAAAUUUCAAGUAUUACUGCCUAAGCCUUUUAUUUAUAAAAAGUAUUAAUUUAUUUAUUAAUACAUAUAUAUAUAAUUUUGGAUAAUGCAUAAAUAUGAACACCUACAUCUUUAGUAGUGACUAUUUUUAAAAAUCUCAUAUCUCUUCUCCCACUUUGGUUUCUUUUAUACCCCAUUUCCUUGAUAACCCAUGUUAACAGCCUAAUAUGUAUCCAUCCAUUUUCUAAUUUAUUUUGUUGGUUUGUUUUUUACUUUAGAGAGAUAGAAAGAGAGAGAGAGAGCAUCAGUGGGGGACAGGGGCAGAGGGAGAGAGAGAGAGAAUCUUCAACAGGCUCCACAAACUGCAAUGCCCAACACGGGGCUCAGUCCCACAACCCUUGGAUGAUAACCUGAGAUGAAAUCAAGAGUUGGACGCUCGACCAAGAGAACCAGCCAGGUGCUCCACUCUUCUUUUAUAAUUCUAUGGAGACUUAUUCGUAAUAUAUUUAUAUACAUAUAAAAAUACGGGGUUAUUUUGAUCAUCAACUUUAAAAAUGGGACCAUAUUCUCAAGCGUGUUACUUUUCUCACCCAACAAUAUCCAGAGGAAAGAUCUUCAAUUCAUUUGAGUUUAAUAGUACAAUAUUCCAUAAUUUAGAUGUAACAUUAUCUAUGUAGCAUUUCCACAAUUAUUGAGCGUUCCUUUUGUUUCCAUUUUUUGGCACUACAAAUUAGGCUACAAUAAACAUCCUUAUAUGUCUUUAUCUACUGAUUUGUUUAUUUCUUUGUGAUAGAUUCACAGGAGUAGGGAAUGUACACUUUUAAUUUUAAUAGAUGUUUGAUACAUCUUUUCCACUAGAAGCAAGAAAUGUAAGAAAAUUUUAUGUCACUUUCACCAAAAAUGUCACUUGUACAUAACAGUUAUGUAGCGAUAAAUAGGAAAUCUUGAAAAAAAAAAAAAAAGAAUAAACUUCUGGUAAGGAAGUUUCAAACAAAGAUGCAUUCCAUUGGGAUAUGUCCUCCUUUUUAAUUACUGUAAUUGGGAAGUGAAGUUGAGUAGGAGCUGGGGGGAAGGGCAGGAGACUUUAAAAAGAAAGGAUACUGAAAUAGAAACCUCUCCCAAGUUUACUUUCAUCAAUAGGUGACUUUCCCCUCUAUAAGUGUGCUGUUCUAAAACAGGAUGUCUGAGAACCUGGUAAUACACAAUCAUAUGGCUGUUACACACUUUUUCUUGCAAGUUCAUUGGCUUCUUACUCUUUUGGCUAAAAGUUUUAUAGUGUGCAGCAUACUGAUUUUUACCACUUAAACAUUUUUCACUAAUUUGCUGUAGUAAGGAGUGGAGGAAGGGGAGAGAAUUCCAUGAACAAAGGCUGUCUUAUGAAAGUACAGACAUGUUAUCAAGUCCUUCAGCAAGUGCAAGUGAAGUCUUAGCAGAGUUAAUUGCUCAAUUCACUAAGUUUACAGUGCAUCUUUGUAGGGAGCAGAAUAAAAUACAUGAUUUACAAGUUGGAAUGAAAAAAAUCUUCAUAAAACAAAGUUAUCAGGCUUUUUCUGUUAAUAGGAAGAAUACUAAACAGAGACGAGCAUGCAUUUUAAAUAUUUUUUCAUUAGUAAUUUCUGUUAAGAAAUAGGAGUUUUGUGCAAGGUAGAUAUAAAAUCAGUAAGAAAGAUUGACAUACUUAAUUUGUACAUUUACUUCAAAAAUAUGAUAGAAAGAUGAAAAUUGGCUAAAAAGAAACUGUUCGUAAUGGUAAAAAGCUUAUAACUGUAUGACCUUUCUCCUGCAGAAGAACCAGAAAAGAGUCUGAUUAAUUCAUGGCCAAGUGAGCUAAUUUAAAAAAAACCAAAAAACACAAAGAUGACAUUUGAGACAAAGUAGAUAUAAAAUUUUACAUUAUUUCUAGAAUAAAUCAAAUUCCCCUACAAAUAUGUUUCAU